rnacentral:rRNA from 1 species
GAUGAACGCUGACGGCAUGCUUAACACAUGCAAGUCGAAUGGAAUUUGGGUUUUUAACUUAGGUUCGGGUGGCGGACGGGUGAGUAACGCGUAAAGAACUUGCCUCCCAGCUAGGGACAACAUUUGAAAAAGAUUGCGAAUACCUAAUAUUAUGAUAAUAGGGCAUCCUAUAGUUAUGAAAGCUAUAAGCGCUGUGGGAGGGCUUUGCGUCCCAUUAGCUAGUUGGAGAGGUAACGGCUCACCAAGGCGAUGAUGGGUAGCCGGCCUGAGAGGGUGAUCGGCCACAUGGGACUGGGGUCCCGGCCCGUACCCCUACGGGGGGCAGCGGGGGGGAUAUUGCACCAAUGGACCGAGCGUCAUGUCGAAAAGUUCUGUGUGGACUAAGAAGUUUUUGGUAAUAUAAAGUGCUUUCAGUUGAGGAGGAGUGAGUGACGGUACCAACAGAAGAAGCGACGGCUAAAUACGUG